rnacentral:misc_RNA from 1 species
UACAGAGGGUGCAAACGUUGCUCGGAAUUACUGGGCGUAAAGAGCGUGUAGGCGGGGGAGUAAGUCGGGUGUGAAAUCCCUAGGCUCAACCUAGGAACUGCAUCCGAAACUACUCCUCUAGAGUGUCGGAGAGGGAAGCGGAAUUCCUGGUGUAGAGGUGAAAUUCGUAGAUAUCAGGAGGAACACCGGUGGCGAAGGCGGCUUCCUGGACGACGACUGACGCUGAGACGCGAAAGCGUGGGGAGCAAACAGG